rnacentral:rRNA from 2 species
GACGAACCGUGCGAACGUUAUUCGGAAUCACUGGGCUUAAAGCGUGCGUAGGCGGCUCAGAAAGUUGGGUGUGAAAUCCCUCGGCUCAACCGAGGAAUUGCGCCCAAAACUACUGGGCUUGAGGGAGUUAGAGGUGAGCGGAACUCACGGUGGAGCGGUGAAAUGCGUUGAUAUCGUGAGGAACACCGGAGGCGAAAGCGGCUCACUGGGGCUUCACUGACGCUGAGGCACGAAAGCUAGGGGAGCAAACGGG